rnacentral:rRNA from 2 species
AAAACUUUCAACAAUGGAUCUCUUGGUUCCGGCAUCGAUGAAGAACGCAGCGAAAUGCGAUAACUAAUGUGAAUUGCAGAAUUCAGUGAAUCAUCGAGUCUUUGAACGCACAUUGCGCCCCCUGGUAUUCCGGGGGGCAUGCCUGUCCGAGCGUCA